rnacentral:rRNA from 1 species
AUUGAACGCUGGCGGCAUGCUUUACACAUGCAAGUCGAACGGCAGCACAGGGAGCUUGCUCCCGGGUGGCGAGUGGCGCACGGGUGAGUAAUACAUCGGAACGUGUCCUGUUGUGGGGGAUAACUGCUCGAAAGGGUGGCUAAUACCGCAUGAGACCUGAGGGUGAAAGCGGGGGAUCGCAAGACCUCGCGCAAUUGGAGCGGCCGAUGCCCGAUUAGCUAGUUGGUGAGGUAACGGCCCACCAAGGCGACGAUCGGUAGCCGGACUGAGAGGUUGAACGGCCACACUUGGGACUGAGACACGGCCCAG